UUUUUUCUUUUGGUCCUUUUUUCCCCUUUGACGGAAAUAGCUGUCUAAUCACACUUGACAGUAAUAAGGAUUCGCAAAUUAAGAUAUACCAUAAUGAUGCUUGAACUCUCAACUCAAAAGGAAACUAGAAACAACGCCAGUUAAGGUAAGAUAAUUGGUUCAUCACUUGAAGCAUUUGGCAUCCAACAAAGCCUCCCCUUCAAAAGGCUCCUGAUCUUCAAUCAUCUGGUUUACGCGUUCCUUUUGUGCCUCAUCUGAUAUAUCAACCUUCCUCCAUUCAUAAAGUUCCAUGUCGUAGCACUCGUCCAAGACGAAUUUGGGUAUCUCUUGUCCACGGAAAAGCCAUAAACCCUUCACCUUAAAUGGAGGUUCUGAUCCAAUCACUAACAUCUUCCCAAAAGCAUACUUACG
rnacentral:misc_RNA from 1 species